ACUGCUCAGUAACACGUAGUCAACAUGCCCAAAGGACGUGGAUAACCUCGGGAAACUGAGGAUAAACCGCGAUAGGCCAAGGUUUCUGGAAUGAGCCAUGGCCGAAACCUAUAUGGCCUUUGGAUUGGACUGCGGCCGAUCAGGCUGUUGGUGAGGUAAUGGCCCACCAAACCUGUAACCGGUACGGGCUUUGAGAGAAGGAGCCCGGAGAUGGGCACUGAGACAAGGGCCCAGGCCCUAUGGGGCGCAGCAGGCGCGAAACCUCUGCAAUAGGCGAAAGCUUGACAAGGUUACUCUGAGUGAUGCCCGCUAAGGGUAUCUUUUGGCACCUCUAAAAAUGGUGCAGAAUAAGGGGUGGGCAAGUCUGGUGUCAGCCGCCGCGGUAAUACCAGCACCCCGAGUUGUCGGGACGAUUAUUGGGCCUAAAGCAUCCGUAGCCUGUUCUGCAAGUCCUCCGUUAAAUCCACCUGCUUAACGGAUGGGCUGCGGGGGAUACUGCAGAGCUAGGAGGCGGGAGAGGCAAACGGUACUCAGUGGGUAGGGGUAAAAUCCUUUGAUCUACUGAAGACCACCAGUGGCGAAGGCGGUUUGCCAGAACGCGCUCGACGGUGAGGGAUGAAAGCUGGGGGAGCAAACCGGAUUAGAUACCCGGGUAGUCCCAGCUGUAAACGAUGCAGACUCGGUGAUGGGUUGGCCUCGAGCCAACCCAGUGCCGCAGGGAAGCCGUUAAGUCUGCCGCCUGGGGAGUACGGUCGCAAGACUGAAACUUAAAGGAAUUGGCGGGGGAGCAC
rnacentral:rRNA from 1 species